rnacentral:rRNA from 1 species
GACGAACGCUGGCGGCGUGCUUAACACAUGCAAGUCGAACGAAGUGGCGAACGGGUGAGUAACGCGUAAUCAACCUGCCCUUCAGAGGGGGACAACAGUUGGAACCGACCGCUAAUACCGCAUACUGAAGGAGGAGUUGGCGUCUGAUUAGCUAGUUGGAGGGGGAACGGCCCACCAAGGCGAUGAACAGUAGGCGGUCUGAGAGGGGGGACGGCCACAUUGGGACUGGGGACCGGCCCAGACUCCCACGGGGUGCAGCAGUUGGGAAUCUUUCGCAAUGGACGGAAGUCUGGCGGAACAACCGCGCGGGAGUGGUGACGGCCUUCGGGUUGGAAAGCCCUGUUAAUCGGGAAGCGGUACCUGAAUAGAAAGCCAUGGCUAACUACGUGCCAGCAGCCGCGGUAAUAC